rnacentral:rRNA from 1 species
UACGUAGGGGGCGAGCGUUGUCCGGAUUUAUUGGGCGUAAAGAGCUCGUAGGCGGUUUGGUAAGUCGGAAGUCAAAACGGCAGGCUCAACCUGUCGUCGCUUUCGAUACUGCUAUGACUUGAAUCUGGUAGGGGAUGACGGAAUUCCUGGUGUAGCGGUGAAAUGCGCAGAUAUCAGGAGGAACACCAAUGGCGAAGGCAAUCCCCUGGGCCUGUACUGACGCUCAUGCACGAAAGCGUGGGGAGCAAACAGG